AUGUUGAACAAAAGGAGAGAAACUUAACAUUCUCUUUGGUAAGGAGGGACAAUGGUCACACAUUUUCU